UAAUUGAGGUGUUUUUUUUUUCUGUAAUG
rnacentral:piRNA from 1 species